UACGUAGGGGGCUAGCGUUGUCCGGAAUCACUGGGCUUAAAGGGCGCGUAGGCGGCUUGCCAAGUCAGGGGUGAAAUCCAGCAGCUUAACUGUUGAAGUGCCUUUGAUACUGGCGAGCGUCGAGGGAGGUGAGGGGUAGUGCGAACUUCUGGUGGAGCGGUGAAAUGCGUUGAUAUCAGAAGGAACGCCGGUGCGAAGGCGGCGCUCUGGGCCGGAACUGACGCUGAGGAGCGAAAGCGUGGGUAGCAAACAGG
rnacentral:rRNA from 1 species